GACGAACGCUGCGGCGUGCUUAACACAUGCAAGUCGAACGGAAAGGCCCUGCUUUUGUGGGGUGCUCGAGUGGCGAACGGGUGAGUAACACGUGAGUAACCUGCCCUUGACUUUGGGAUAACUUCAGGAAACUGGGGCUAAUACCGGAUAGGAGCUCCUGCUGCAUGGUGGGGGUUGGAAAGUUUCGGCGGUUGGGGAUGGACUCGCGGCUUAUCAGCUUGUUGGUGGGGUAGUGGCUUACCAAGGCUUUGACGGGUAGCCGGCCUGAGAGGGUGACCGGCCACAUUGGGACUGAGAUAAGGCCCAGACUCCUACGGGAGGCAGCAGUGGGGAAUAUUGAACAAUGGGCGGAAGCCUGAUGCAGCAACGCCGCGUGCGGGAUGACGGCCUUCGGGUUGUAAACCGCUUUCGCCUGUGACGAAGCGUGAGUGACGGUAAUGGGUAAAGAAGCACCGGCUAACUACGUG
rnacentral:rRNA from 1 species